CCAAACCCUCGCGGGGGAAGGAUGAGAAGCUUCGGCGAACGUAAGUGAGCAGAAGGUUCGACCAAUUCGCCAGGAGCGAAUUGGCACGUCACACGAAGUGUGACAGCCCGGAGGGCGAAGGUCAGGAUGACCUGAGUAAUCCUUCCCCCUCCACCA
rnacentral:sRNA from 1 species